UCUAACAACCAUUUGCUUUCCCAGACAAUCGAUACAGUUAAAGAAGCAAUAAAUGAAGUCAGAUUCCAAACUCUCAUGAGCUGAGAGAUGAUGGUACAUACUCGUACUAUAUCCAAGCUCAGAAGACCGAAACGCAUCUGAUCGGAGCUCGUCCUCGCCGGCGGUUAGCCAUGCCGGGCCCCGGUCCGCACCUGAUGUACGCCAUGGGUUCGGGUGUGGCUCUGACCACUCUCACCAACGGCAGGUUCAGCCCCCACCACACCCUGAUCUAUACCGUCAACGCCUUCUUCGGCCCCGACAUCGGAUCCUUCACCGAAUGGCUGGCCUCCCUCGUCGGCGGCUUCGGCUUCGACUUCGGCUCCGAGCUCGCUGACGCCAUCCACCACCCCUUCUACUACGUCAUCAUUCUUGGCCUCCCUCUUUGUAUUCUCUACUCCUGGCUCUCCAGAAUCUUCCUCCUCAAUAGGGUCCUCGACUCCUUCCCUCCGGUUCCCCUAACAAAGUUGCAGUGCAUCUUGUUGGUGUCAGCCGGUUCUUUGUCACAUUUUUUCCUCGAUCACUUGUUCGAGGAAAAUGGGCAUUCUGGUACGUAUACAUGGAUUUUGAGCACUGGUUGGUGGGAGGGCCGCGCACCUAUUAAUCCAGAUGCUGUUGUUGUCGUCGGCCUUUUAUGCAUUGGCUUAAUUGGUGGCUUUAUUUACAUCAACAGAGUUAAGCCUCCCAAGUCUGUUAACAAAUAUUCAUCAAAUGAAUCAUUCCAACUAAUCAUCAUCAUAGCAAGCCUGUACUGCUUAUGGUGCACAAGCCAAGUAUACUUGGUUAAUCCUCGUCGGCCAGCAGUUGGUGAAGAAGCUGACCUUGGAGUUCUCGUGUUUCUAGCCACUUAUCUCUUUUUCCCUCAUUUUUUGUGUAUAUUGUCCAUGCACCCAAGAGGUCAUGAGGGGUUACUGCUUCCAAAAUAACAGUAUAAUCAUAUUGAUAAAGAGGACAUGCCACGCUUGCUGUCGAGUAUGAUCGAAGUAGAUUUUCCAAGUCUUGCCACAGCCCUGAGUUUUGUUUUGUUGUAGCUUGUUACCAUGAUUUUUCAGGAUUUUGUGGCAACAGGAGUUUGAGGUUCUCACAUGAAGAGGCACCAACACUGCAAGGGAGUGUUUGUGCCAAAGAGUGAUUUACGAUGCAAAGAGUAUGCAAGACAGAGAUUUGGGAUUCUAGGUUUGGGGUGUAAGAAACUUGAAAGCACAAUGUCCAUUUGAAUUUUGAGAUAAUUUCUAAACCAUAACUAGAAAAUAGCAGUUCGUCUACAUAAUUACAAGUUUUAUUAACACUA